GAAUUUGGUUUCUCACAGUCAGUCAUCGAUUCAGUGUGGUGCAGAAGCAGAGGAUUUGUGGACUGCCGCGUCGUCGGUCUGCCGGCGCUUCGAGGACGGUGAUGGUUUGGUUGGAAGCGUUCUUCUGAAUCAGUUCGUUAGAAGCGCGCGUGGUGUUUGGACGUGAACAGAGCUUGGCUGCGGUGUUUUCUUCUGGUGGAUCUGUCUGAACGCGCCAGUUGGUGAGCUGGUUGUUGCAACAAGCUCAAGUGAUUACAGUGAUAGAACAGUUGUGCAUCAGUGUGGUGUGGUUGUGCGGCUUUCGUUUGGAUAGUGUGCUUCACUGCGGUCAUCCAGCUCCUGACGAGGUGUCCUCUGCCAAGGCCUGCUGAACAAAGUGAUCAAUUUGCGUUUCCACACGCUCCGCGGCGGUGGAUGGUGUGGUGUAGUGCUAUUGUAAUCGUAGUUCGUUGUUGUUAGUGUCGCUUUAACGACCGACCGGCGGCGGCAGCAGCAGGACCAUCAUAACUCGGUUGGCUGGACCGAGCACAGCGGGAAAUCGAAAGUGUUCGCGUUAAGGGAUUUUGUCGCAGAGAUAAAGUGUUGCAGUGAGCUGGAAAAGCCUCAGUUUUGGAGUUUGAACAAUUCGUCCAGCAAAAUUGAAAGUACAGUAUUUGCAGUUAGUGUUUGUUCAUAUAAACGUAUAUAUUGUAAACUAGAUGCAAACCAUCAAAAACUGUGCCGGAACUAUCAUAAAGCCGUGAAUACGUUGGUAGUAAGCAAAUUCCAUACAGUGACUGACAGUGACAUAGCAAAAAUAUCUCACACGUCGCAUCGUUGGAAAGGACUCAAAGCUGGUGUUCGUCGUCAGUGCUCUGUCAGUGUGAUGCUGCCCACAUUUUAAUUACAUACGGAAGGGUCAUAGUGAAUGAGCCAAAUUGCCAAUUCCGGCUCUUUCAGAAGAGUAGAACCGGAGAAGCUACAUGCCAAAGUGUAACUCUAAAUAAUAAUAAUCAAUGUUAUAAGUGUGGCUCUCUGUGUGUGAUGUGAAAAGAACGAGUUCAAAUUGGGAGCCCGAUUUAAUAAAUGAUGUGCCAUAAAAUGUGUGCGUAUAGUAGAGUGAGGCUGGAAUCUCAUUAUCCCACCCGGGCUGUCAUCAUCGUGGUCCAGCAUAUGAAUUUGUACGGUUCUUGUGCGCUGGCUGACUGGAUCUGUUUGAAUAGUGCUCGUUUCCUCCUCUGUUCGGGGUGUUAAAAGUGCAAAUAGUAGAAAAAAAAAACAAGCAUCCGACAGCGAGUGAACAAAAGUUAAACUAAUAUUGGAUGAAAAAAUAGUCGGUGCCGACGCAGCGCAGGUGGAUGCAAUUUCGCGACCAUUCAUAAGUGUGAAUUUUGCUAUCUCACGUCGCCGUCGACGAAGCUGGGUGCAUCAUUCCUCGCCUCGUGUGGCGUGGCUCCGUUGGAUAAUCGCUACACUACUGCAACAUUGAAUCAACUUGGCGUGGCUAGAAGCGGGGAGCUUUCUGGACAAGGCAACAUUACAUCACUUAUGAACACAUCACUGUAGCAGAUCACCAAUCAUGGAACUACUAGUUUCGAGAAACGCUAACCAACCCGAAUCGAACCAGUCAUCGAUCGCUCGUCGCCCGAGCAACAGUAGCGGAAUUAUCAACCCAGCAGCCACAUUAGAUCUGGAUGACACUGGUAGCAUUAUCAGCGACAUCUCGAAAAUCCCCCGUGUUCCAGGCGACGGAGCCCAGGCAGAAGAUGUGGACCACUGCAGUACGGCCAAUUUGGAAUUGCGUAAACAGGAACGGUUGCCAACGUUAGCCCUACAACAGCAACAGCAGCAGCAGGAUGAACGAUGCCAAUCCCUGACAAAGAUUAGCAAUGGAGAUUUGUGCAAACCGUCCGAAGCUCGAGUAUCUCCAUCGUCGGUGGAUCAUCAGCAGAAACCGGCGAACGGUGUAACCACACCAGUCACGACCGUGGCGGCGGCGGCGGCGGCGACGACGACCGACGAUAGCAACGGGCAAUGUGGUCCCCCACCAGGCGGAGGAGUAACCUGCGGUGCUGGCGAUGGAGGCGGCGGCGGAGGCAGCGGUGGAGAUGGUAACCCACCCAACACGCUGCCACCCCUCAGCAGUAACACCUACUCGGCUUUCAAGCGGGGCAACGUAAUCAAGGGCAUUCUGUGUCCCUCGAUGACCAACUCGUUUCGGGCGCCGUCCCUCGAGCGUUCCUAUCUGACCUACUCCCACCGGCAGCGGCAAAAGUCGCUCAUCCUCGUCAACGUGGUCGAUCUGGUGCUCAAGAUAGUGCUGGCUUCCGUCUGGAUCGGGUUCAACCAUCCGCAGACAAUCAAACCCCACGAAAUCACCUGGUCGGUGUGCUGUGUCAUCUCGAACUUUUUGAUCUGCGUCCUCGGCAGUUGGCGGCUGUUCGCCAACAACUAUCUCCACUGGGCCGCGGUUUGCACCUGGCUGCUGCUGAAUCUGCAGGGUUUCAUCGGCGAGGGGCUGGGUUUUGCCGAGCGGGAGUACCUGAUUUGGUACGUGCUGUUCAUCAUCUUUGUGCCGUACGCGAUGCUUCCGUUGCCGCUGAAAUGGUGCAUGAUUGCCGGCUCGGUGUCGGCCAUUUGUCAUCUGAUAGUGACGACCAUCAACAAAUUUCUGCACGAGACGGACACCACCUGCAUCGUCCGCCAGAUGAUUGCCAACUCGCUGCUCUAUCUGGCGAUCAACUUUGCCGGGAUGUACACCAAGUAUCUGACCGACCGUGGUCAGCGGUUGGCCUUCAUCGAAACGCACAAAGCCAUGGAGCACAAACGUGAAUCGGAAAAGGAGUAUCAACGGACGCAACGGCUACUCGACUCCAUUCUUCCGAUGUUCGUCAACAAUGACAUCCGCAAGGAGAUGUACAAAUCGCCGGAGCAGCCCCAGGUGGACACCCAGUUCAAGAAGCUCUACAUCUACCACAUGGACAACGUGAGCAUCCUGUUUGCCGACAUCAAAGGUUUCACCGAGUUGGCCAGCAAAACAUCGGCCCAACAGUUGGUCAAGGUGCUGAAUGAUCUGUUUGCCCGGUUCGACAAGAUCGCCGAAGAUAACCACUGUCUUAGGAUUAAGCUGCUGGGCGAUUGUUACUAUUGUGUUUCGAUGUUCGACAGUCAAAGUUGGAAAAGCCGACCGGAUCAUGCGGUGUGUAGCGUGGAGACGGGACUGCAUAUGAUAAAGGCGAUCAAGGACGUCCGCGUUCAAACCAAUGUGGUUGAUCUAGAUAUGCGAAUCGGCAUUCACAGUGGAUCCGUUAUGUGUGGAGUCCUAGGAGAAAAGAAGUGGCACUUUGACGUGUGGUCCAACGAUGUGAUAAUUGCCAACCACAUGGAAUCGGGAGGAGUUCCCGGGCGGGUGCACAUAUCGGAAGCCACGCUAAAUUGUUUGAACGACACCUACGAAGUCGAACCCGGGAACGGGGCCAGUCGGGAUAGUCACCUAAAGAUGAUGAACAUCAAGACAUAUCUUAUCAAGCGGACCGAACCGCUGAGGCCGAGGAAAAGACUGAUGAAUCGAAUGAGUACGCUACAGUUCGAGAAAGAGACUAUCAAUAAGAUUAACGAUCCGAGGUAUCGGAAGGACUCGAAGACACCAAGUGUCGCUUCUAGUGGAACUAAUAACAAUAACCAUAUCACGAAACGUAGCUCCAAAUCGACAAUACACGAGGACGAAACAACAACGGACUGGACGCCGGAGAUUCCAUUUGGGAACUUGAACCAAGUGGGGGUCAACGCUGCCGAAAGUUUUCGAGACAAGCAGAACUAUGACACAGAAGACACAAUCCCUUCGACGGAAGAAGUGGACGACAUCAUUGAUCAGAAUAUACAGAUCAACUCGAACAAACAAAUGCGAGAGGAAUACCUCUACACGUGGACGCUCAAGUUCAAGGAUUCAUCUCAAGAGGGAACAUUCUGUCAACUCCGGGAAGACAUGUUCCGAUCCAAUAUGUUGUGUGUUUUUGUUGUUUGGAUAUUUAUCGUGCUAUGCCAGGCUGUGAUCAUUCCCAAAUGCACGAUCCUCAUAGUCUCCCUGUCGAUCACGACAUUCGUGCUGACGAUCGGUUGUGUCCUAGUAAUGGCCGAAGAGUUCUCUACGCUUCCAGAGUUUCUGCAGAAAAGUUCUUCCACUUUAGUGCACGAUCGCAAGCGCCGAACGAUCUUCGUUUGCAUAACGAUCAUCCUUAUGUCCGCCGCUAGCUCGAUGGGUCUGAUCAUGUGCGAUCUCGACGAGCCGGUCACCACUGCAGAAACCAUCCACAAAGAACCAGCCAUCGCAUAUCUCCAGAUACCUGGAUCUAAACAGGAACUACAACUCAAUCUCACCGUAACAGCUACGAUCAAUCAAAACCUGAUCCUCAACUCGCACAAGAGCGUAAACCUUGAUCUAGAGGCCCUACUAACCGAACAGAACAAAACCCUGAAAGAUCUCGACGAGCAGGAGCUCAAAUCCCUCGGACUCAUUCCCACCUACAUUGAUCUUCCACUGAACUACAAAAUCUCUUCCCCAAAUACAUCUGAUGAUCCUUUCCACGACACCAUCCCUAGACACCCGCACACCACUCUCACCAGCCUCGAUCCAUACGGCCUCCCCGUUUGCGUCCACCCGGAAUACGUAGUCUUCACCUGGGUGCUCUGCCUCAUCUCCCUUGCCACGGCCCUCAAACUCUACUACCUCGUGAAAACCUUCAUGGCCAUCACCAUGGUCGCAUGCUAUUCGAUCCUGAUCCUACUGGUGUUCAACGAGGUCUUCGAAACGUACGACAUCCAGUUCAUGCAAGCCAGCGGAAUGCCCCUAGCCGCCCAGAUGAUGAUUCUGCUGGUCGUGUUCCUAACCAUGGUCACCUACCAUGCCCGCCUAGUCGAAGUCACCUCCCGUUUGGAUUUCAUCUGGAAGGAGCAAGCGGAAAAGGAACUGUCCAACAUGAAAUCCAACCGGCAUCUGAACGAUCUGCUGAUCAAGAACAUCCUCCCCGAUCAUGUAGCGUCCUAUUACCUCUCGGAGGAACGGGCCGACGAGCUGUACGCCCAGAUGCACGAACUGUGCGGGGUGAUGUUUGCUUCGAUCCCGAACUUCAAGGACUUCUACUCGGAGGACAUUGAGAAUGGGAAAGCGUGCAUUCGGAUCCUGAACGAAAUCAUUUCCGAUUUCGACUCGCUGCUGGAGGAGGAGCGGUUCAAGACGGUCGAGAAGAUUAAGACGGUGGGGGCGACCUACAUGGCGGCGUCCAAUCUGCGCUCCGGGAAUAAGACCAAAGUGGACGAAAAGGACGAAGAGGCCGUGUGCGAUCUGGUUGAAUUUGCCUUGGCCAUGCGGCAGAAGCUACAGGAGGUCAACAAGGACGCUUUCAACACGUUCCAGCUGAGGGUUGGCAUCAGCAGUGGUCCACUGGUAAGCGGAGUUAUUGGAGCCCGAAAACCCGUGUACGACAUCUGGGGAAAUACGGUGAACGUGGCGUCCAGGAUGGACUCCACCGGAGAGAACUGGAAGGUCCAGGUUCCGGACUAUACGGCAGCACUGCUGCAGACCAAGGGGUACACGUGUGUGCAACGUGGAGAGGUGAACGUGAAGGGAAAGGGUCUCAUGUUGACCUAUUGGGUGCUCGGUAUGAAUGUUUCCGCCAGUCAAUUAACCUCGCCGGCACUGAUGCCUGCCGGAGUGCCGCAGGUCCAGACGCCGUCCCUACAGAGACAAAUCUCUCAGCACAGCUCUCUUGCGGCAGUAGUUUUUGGUAUGAUGCAAGCGUCCAAGAGGAGCAACCAUAACACAACUCACAAAUGUGGCUGGAGUCGUGCUAAAAACUUGACCGUCAAUAAGAUGCGUUUGCUGGCACCCAACCGCAACGCCUUCGCCGAAAACCCGGUUCGGGCGACGGGGAAGCACAUUCAGCUCAGUGAGAUUGAGUCAGAAAGUGCAGUCUAAUAAUCCGAUCCGACGGAACACAACCCGGGUGCGGGGUCGGAGUUACACCAUGAAGAAGCCAACCAUCCCUCAUUCGCCGUCGGUGCAGAUUCCGACCUGUACCACGCCGGACAACAAUGUGAUACCAUCCUUCCUGCAGCUGCAUCAGAACGUCAAAGAGGAACAGACUGGAGUGUAAAUGGAAGAAAAUCUAAGAGAUAGAGAAAGAGAGAGCGAGAGUUGUAACUAUUUUUUAUUGUACCGGAAUCUACAAAUUUUUCGCUAGACGCCGACUGCCACUUUCCACGAAGAGGGAAGAGGCAUCCAGGCAGAAAUUAGCACACUAGAGAAAGUGACAAACGUAGCCAAAUAUUGUAUUCUAGUCAUGAACAAGCCAGAACAAAUAGAAAGUCAAAUACACAACAACUUUUACUGUUAUACUAACUGCACAAACCAUUUCUAAACCAAUAGAUAAGUUGUACUGUAUUGCAGGUCGAUCAAAUUUUAAUCAAAAUUCAGACUAAACUAUUGAAAUCUAGCCAUCAAUCAAGAUCAAAAAACAACAAUUCAAUAGAUUGCAGUUACAAAACAUAGUGGUUACAUUGGACAAAAAAAAACAAUCUAGUGACAAGACACCUAAAUGUGAUUCUAAAUGUAUUACCUUUCAGUUGAAGGACUGUAUUUGCUGUACUUAUGAAGUAUGAUCUAAACAAAUAAAAGAAAGCUAUAUGGAAUCAACAACUGUUAUGCCAAAAUGCAAUGAAGAAAAA